UGUGUGUUAGCACACAUGCAAAGCAUAAUCAAUGACGUCACACGGCGUGAAGCAAACGCGUCGUGCGCUGCGUUGUGUGCGUUGUGUGCUGGUGUGUGUGACCAUACAAAGAAAGCUUUACAUCAGCGCGCCGUGGCCACUGGUGGAACCGACUGUUUCUUUGACGAAAGCUAACCUAAAACCGCGUACAAAAUGGCGCAAAAUGUCACGAAUUUAUCAUGCAUCAAGUUAUAUUUUCUUUAGUAUAAUAAUUACAUUCGUUUAGUUAAGCAACUUGUUUAUGAUAAUUGUAGAAAAGUGUAGAAAAAUGACACCUGCAUUAUAUCCUGGGAUGAAGAAACGUUAUUUUAUGUCGAUUUCUUUAGAUGACAAAGGAGGUAACCAAAUAGCAUAUCUUACAAAAUCUGAGGACAAUAAUAAGGAUCGUUUAUCAAGGUUAAAAUAAUUAUUUUACUAAAUUAAGACAUUAACAUAUCCAUGUGUUCGACAUAACCUCACUUCUUAAAUCUCUUAAAUUAGUCGGUUGAGAAGCGGAUCGAGAAUGAUUGUUUGAAUAUAAGUCGUACAAAACUGGAAUGAAACGAUGAACAAUAUACAGAUCUUUAGACAGGCUCAAAUAAUAUAUGUUUAGGAGCAAAUUGAAGAUAAUGGAGAUUUAUCUUCUUAAUAUAAAACCUCUAAAAUUGGGAACAGUAUGUCGUAUAUGCAUGAACUUGAUUGAUGUAUUGAUGUAUAAUGAACUGAAGAUAGAAU